rnacentral:rRNA from 1 species
UUAAGCGACUAAGCGUACACGGUGGAUGCCCUGGCAGUCAGAGGCGAUGAAGGACGUGCUAAUCUGCGAAAAGCGUCGGUAAGGUGAUAUGAACCGUUAUAACCGGCGAUGUCCGAAUGGGGAAACCCAGUGCAAUUCGUUGCACUAUCGUUAACUGAAUACAUAGGUUAACGAGGCGAACCGGGGGAACUGAAACAUCUAAGUACCCCGAGGAAAAGAAAUCAACCGAGAUUCCCCCAGUAGCGGCGAGCGAACGGGGAGCAGCCCAGAGUCUGAAUCAGCUUGUGUGUUAGUGGAACGGUCUGGAAAGUCCGACGGUACAGGGUGAUAGUCCCGUACACCAAAAUGCACAGGCUGUGAACUCGAAGAGUAGGGCGGGACACGUGGUAUCCUGUCUGAAUAUGGGGGGACCAUCCUCCAAGGCUAAAUACUCCUGACUGACCGAUAGUGAACCAGUACCGUGAGGGAAAGGCGAAAAGAACCCCGGCGAGGGGAGUGAAAAAGAACCUGAAACCGUGUACGUACAAGCAGUGGGAGCACCUUCGGGUGUGACUGCGUACCUUUUGUAUAAUGGGUCAGCGACUUAUAUUCUGUAGCAAGGUUAACCGUAUAGGGGAGCCGCAGGGAAACCGAGUCUUAACUGGGCGUUAAGUUGCAGGGUAUAGACCCGAAACCCGGUGAUCUAGCCAUGGGCAGGUUGAAGGUUGGGUAACACUAACUGGAGGACCGAACCGACUAAUGUUGAAAAAUUAGCGGAUGACUUGUGGCUGGGGGUGAAAGGCCAAUCAAACCGGGAGAUAGCUGGUUCUCCCCGAAAGCUAUUUAGGUAGCGCCUCGUGAACUCAUCUUCGGGGGUAGAGCACUGUUUCGGCUAGGGGGUCAUCCCGACUUACCAACCCGAUGCAAACUACGAAUACCGAAGAAUGUUAUCACGGGAGACACACGGCGGGUGCUAACGUCCGUCGUGAAGAGGGAAACAACCCAGACCGCCAGCUAAGGUCCCAAAGUCAUGGUUAAGUGGGAAACGAUGUGGGAAGGCACAGACAGCCAGGAUGUUGGCUUAGAAGCAGCCAUCAUUUAAAGAAAGCGUAAUAGCUCACUGGUCGAGUCGGCCUGCGCGGAAGAUGUAACGGGGCUAAACCAUGCACCGAAGCUGCGGCAGCGACACUAUGUGUUGUUGGGUAGGGGAGCGUUCUGUAAGCCUGCGAAGGUGUGCUGUGAGGCAUGCUGGAGGUAUCAGAAGUGCGAAUGCUGACAUAAGUAACGAUAAAGCGGGUGAAAAGCCCGCUCGCCGGAAGACCAAGGGUUCCUGUCCAACGUUAAUCGGGGCAGGGUGAGUCGACCCCUAAGGCGAGGCCGAAAGGCGUAGUCGAUGGGAAACAGGUUAAUAUUCCUGUACUUGGUGUUACUGCGAAGGGGGGACGGAGAAGGCUAUGUUAGCCGGGCGACGGUUGUCCCGGUUUAAGCAUGUAGGCUGGUUGUCCAGGCAAAUCCGGAUAAUCAAGGCUGAGGUGUGAUGACGAGGCACUACGGUGCUGAAGUAACAAAUGCCCUGCUUCCAGGAAAAGCCUCUAAGCAUCAGGUAACAUCAAAUCGUACCCCAAACCGACACAGGUGGUCAGGUAGAGAAUACCAAGGCGCUUGAGAGAACUCGGGUGAAGGAACUAGGCAAAAUGGUGCCGUAACUUCGGGAGAAGGCACGCUGGUGUGUAGGUGAAGUCCCUGCGGAUGGAGCUGAGACCAGUCGAAGAUACCAGCUGGCUGCAACUGUUUAUUAAAAACACAGCACUGUGCAAACACGAAAGUGGACGUAUACGGUGUGACGCCUGCCCGGUGCCGGAAGGUUAAUUGAUGGGGUUAUCCGUAAGGAGAAGCUCUUGAUCGAAGCCCCGGUAAACGGCGGCCGUAACUAUAACGGUCCUAAGGUAGCGAAAUUCCUUGUCGGGUAAGUUCCGACCUGCACGAAUGGCGUAAUGAUGGCCAGGCUGUCUCCACCCGAGACUCAGUGAAAUUGAACUCGCUGUGAAGAUGCAGUGUACCCGCGGCAAGACGGAAAGACCCCGUGAACCUUUACUAUAGCUUGACACUGAACAUUGAGCCUUGAUGUGUAGGAUAGGUGGGAGGCUUUGAAGCGUGGACGCCAGUCUGCGUGGAGCCAACCUUGAAAUACCACCCUUUAAUGUUUGAUGUUCUAACGUUGGCCCCUGACCGGGGUUGCGGACAGUGUCUGGUGGGUAGUUUGACUGGGGCGGUCUCCUCCCAAAGCGUAACGGAGGAGCACGAAGGUUAGCUAAUCCUGGUCGGACAUCAGGAGGUUAGUGCAAUGGCAUAAGCUAGCUUGACUGCGAGCGUGACGGCGCGAGCAGGUGCGAAAGCAGGUCAUAGUGAUCCGGUGGUUCUGAAUGGAAGGGCCAUCGCUCAACGGAUAAAAGGUACUCCGGGGAUAACAGGCUGAUACCGCCCAAGAGUUCAUAUCGACGGCGGUGUUUGGCACCUCGAUGUCGGCUCAUCACAUCCUGGGGCUGAAGUAGGUCCCAAGGGUAUGGCUGUUCGCCAUUUAAAGUGGUACGCGAGCUGGGUUUAGAACGUCGUGAGACAGUUCGGUCCCUAUCUGCCGUGGGCGCUGGAGAAUUGAGGGGGGCUGCUCCUAGUACGAGAGGACCGGAGUGGACGCAUCACUGGUGUUCGGGUUGUCAUGCCAAUGGCACUGCCCGGUAGCUAAAUGCGGAAGAGAUAAGUGCUGAAAGCAUCUAAGCACGAAACUUGCCCCGAGAUGAGUUCUCCCUGAGACUUUAAGUCUCCUGAAGGAACGUUGAAGACGACGACGUUGAUAGGCCGGGUGUGUAAGCGCAGCGAUGCGUUGAGCUAACCGGUACUAAUGAGCCGUGAGGCUUAACCUU